UACGUAGGGUGCGAGCGUUGUCCGGAAUUAUUGGGCGUAAAGAGCUCGUAGGCGGUUUGUCGCGUCUGCUGUGAAAACCCGAGGCUCAACCUCGGGCCUGCAGUGGGUACGGGCAGACUAGAGUGCGGUAGGGGAGAUUGGAAUUCCUGGUGUAGCGGUGGAAUGCGCAGAUAUCAGGAGGAACACCGAUGGCGAAGGCAGAUCUCUGGGCCGAUACUGACGCUGAGGAGCGAAAGCGUGGGGAGCGAACAGG
rnacentral:rRNA from 1 species